GAUGAACGCUGGCGGCGUGCCUAAUACAUGCAAGUCGAGCGAACAGACGAGGAGCUUGCUCCUCUGACGUUAGCGGCGGACGGGUGAGUAACACGUGGAUAACCUACCUAUAAGACUGGGAUAACUUCGGGAAACCGGAGCUAAUACCGGAUAAUAUAUUGAACCGCAUGGUUCAAUAGUGAAAGACGGUUUUGCUGUCACUUAUAGAUGGAUCCGCGCCGCAUUAGCUAGUUGGUAAGGUAACGGCUUACCAAGGCGACGAUGCGUAGCCGACCUGAGAGGGUGAUCGGCCACACUGGAACUGAGACACGGUCAAGACUCCUACGGGAGGCAGCAGUAGGGAAUCUUCCGCAAUGGGCGAAAGCCUGACGGAGCAACGCCGCGUGAGUGAUGAAGGUCUUCGGAUCGUAAAACUCUGUUAUUAGGGAAGAACAAAUGUGUAAGUAACUAUGCACGUCUUGACGGUACCUAAUCAGAAAGCCACGGCUAACUACGUG
rnacentral:rRNA from 1 species